rnacentral:rRNA from 1 species
GACGAACGCUGGCGGCGUGCUUAACACAUGCAAGUCGAACGGAAAGGCCCUGCUCUUGUGGGGUGCUCGAGUGGCGAACGGGUGAGUAACACGUGAGUAACCUGCCCUUGACUUUGGGAUAACUUCAGGAAACUGGGGCUAAUACCGGAUAGGAGCUCCUGCUGCAUGGUGGGGGUUGGAAAGUUUCGGCGGUUGGGGAUGGACUCGCGGCUUAUCAGCUUGUUGGUGGGGUAGUGGCUUACCAAGGCUUUGACGGGUAGCCGGCCUGAGAGGGUGACCGGCCACAUUGGGACUGAGAUGCGGCCCAGACUCCUACGGGAGGCAGCAGUGGAGAAUAUUGCACAAUGGGCGGAAGCCUGAUGCAGCAACGCCGCGUCCGGUAUGACGGCCUUCGGGUUGUAUACCGCUUUCGCCUGUGACGAAGCGUGAGUGACGGUAAUGGGUAAAGAAGCCCCGGCUAACUACGUG